rnacentral:rRNA from 1 species
UACAGGGGGUGCAAACGUUGCUCGGAAUCAUUGGGCGUAAAGCGCACGUAGGCGGUUCGUUAUGUCGGAUGUGAAAGCCCUUGGCUUAACCGAGGAAGUGCAUCCGAAACUGGCGAGCUAGAGUACUAAAGAGGAUCGCGGAAUUCCCGGUGUAGAGGUGAAAUUCGUAGAUAUCGGGAGGAACACCUGUGGCGAAAGCGGCUCACUGGACCAUAACUGACGCUGAUGCACGAAAGCUGGGGGAGCAAACAGG